GUUAAUGUAGCAAAUCUAGGCCUUGCAAA
rnacentral:tRNA from 1 species